GGGGGUGACAGGUUUCGACGGGGAUGCAACGGUUCGGAUAGCGGCACGCCGAGGCGCCUACCUCGUAAAAAAGGCACAGCAAAUAGCUGCCGACGAAAACUUAGCUCUCGCUGCCUAAUAACGCAGCGACGCCCCCUGUAGCUCAUCUCCCCGGCUGCAGGUAGGGCGACAGAGAGGGGAGAUAGGUUAUCACCUUUUCCCCGGAGGUGAUAGCCGAAAAUUUACGGGGAUAGCUUCGGAGCGCCUGCCUGUGGGCUAACUCCGAAGCGAAACGGUAAAACACAGGCUAAGCGUGUAGAAGCUAUCCGGACCGCAUCUCCGGACGCGGGUUCGAUUCCCGCCACCUCCACCA
rfam:Desulfurobacterium sp. K6013 contig15_length_35248_cov_1066.09, whole genome shotgun sequence.